rnacentral:rRNA from 1 species
AUGCCGGAGCACACACGUGUCCUAGACGACAUCUGGGAGUUGCACCGGGUAGCGGUUGAUACAGUCGGCCCACGGCCCCCCAUCGUCGCCGGUGGCGGGCUUGAUGCACACCCACGCGACGCUGUUGCACUCGAAUCCGGCGCCGAAGGAGACCAUCCACACCCGGUCACCCUUCUUCAUACGGCCCUUGGCCUCCGUGUAGGCCAGCUCGUAGAGCACCGAGCUGCUGGACGUGUUGCCGACCCUGUGCAGCGUCAUGCGGGACGCCUCCACGUCGUCGUCGGAGAGCCCGAGCCCGUGCUGAGCCUCGUUGAUCACGCUCCGGCCGCCGGCGUGGAUGCAGAAGUGUUGGAACGCCGUGCGGAAGUCCGGCCUGUAGAGCGUCGCCUCGGCACGUCGGCCGGGGAGGAGCAGGAGGAGGAGGAGGAGCUUACGCUUGAGCACGGACAGCGCCACCCGGACCUGCUCGGAGGCUGGCAGGACGAGUGGGGCGAAGUCGGCGACGUUGUCCCUCAGCGCGCCGCCGGCGGUGGCCGGGAGAUUCCUGGAGAGGCGGAUGGCGGUGUUUCCCUUGUCAUCCUCGUCCAUGUACACACACCCGUAGUCCUUGUCCCGUGCGGAGGUGACGGUGCGUACCACGGGGCCCAGCCGGAAACGCGCGCCCUCCGGGGAGUUGGAGAGGAUCAUGGCGGCGGCACCCAUGCGGAAGAGGCAGUUGGGGAGGAGCAUGGAGGGGUCCGUGCCCGUGUAGUAUGUCGACGACAGGAUCUCCGUGGACACGAUGAGAGCGCGCGUGCCAGGCCGCGCCACCCGGAGGAUGUUCCUGACGAGGCCCACCGAUACGAGCGCGGCGCUGCACCCCAUCCCAGACAGGUUGAAGCUCCGGACGUCGGCGCGGAGCUUAUACCUGUUGACGACCAUGUCGGCGAACGAGGGAGUCGGCGCCAGGACGCUGCAGUUCAGGACGAGCACGUCCACGUCCGAGGGCUUCAAGAAGCUCGUGGUCUUGGCGAACGCCUCGUCGAUGGCGGAGAAGAUGACCAGCUCGGCCUCCGCCCGUGA